rnacentral:rRNA from 1 species
UCUAUACUGUGAAACUGCGAAUGGCUCAUUAAAUCAGUUAUCGUUUAUUUGAUAGUACCUUACUACUUGGAUAACCGUGGUAAUUCUAGAGCUAAUACAUGCUAAAAACCCCGACUUCGGAAGGGGUGUAUUUAUUAGAUAAAAAACCAAUGCCCUUCGGGGCUCCUUGGUGAAUCAUGAUAACUUAACGAAUCGCAUGGCCUUGCGCCGGCGAUGGUUCAUUCAAAUUUCUGCCCUAUCAACUUUCGAUUGUAGGAUAGAGGCCUACAAUGGUUUCAACGGGUAACGGGGAAUUAGGGUUCUAUUCCGGAGAGGGAGCCUGAGAAACGGCUACCACAUCCAAGGAAGGCAGCAGGCGCGCAAAUUACCCAAUCCCGAUACGGGGAGGUAGUGACAAUAAAUACUGAUACAGGGCUCUUUUGGGUCUUGUAAUUGGAAUGAGUACAAUUUAAAUACCUUAACGAGGAACAAUUGGAGGGCAAGUCUGGUGCCAGCAGCCGCGGUAAUUCCAGCUCCAAUAGCGUAUAUUAAAGUUGUUGCAGUUAAAAAGCUCGUAGUUGAACCUUGGGCCUGGCUGGCCGGUCUGCCUCACCGCAUGUACUGGUUCGGCCGGGUCUUUCCUCCUGGGGAUCCGCAUGCCCUUCACUGGGUGUGUUGGGGAACCAGGACUUUUACUUUGAAAAAAUUAGAGUGUUCAAAGCAGGCCUUUGCUCGAAUACAUUAGCAUGGAAUAAUAGAAUAGGACGUGCGGUCCUAUUUUGUUGGUUUCUAGGACCGCCGUAAUGAUUAAUAGGGAUAGUCGGGGGCAUCAGUAUUCAGUUGUCAGAGGUGAAAUUCUUGGAUUUACUGAAGACUAACUACUGCGAAAGCAUUUGCCAAGGGAUGUUUUCAUUAAUCAGUGAACGAAAGUUAGGGGAUCGAAGACGAUCAGAUACCGUCGUAGUCUUAACCGUAAACUAUGNCGACUAGGGAUCGGGCGAUGUUAUUCUUUUGACUCGCUCGGCACCUUACGAGAAAUCAAAGUCUUUGGGUUCUGGGGGGGGAGUAUGG